AAAAUAAAUAAAUAAAAUUCAUUAUUUAUUUUCAAAUCUGGUUUUACUUGGUUAUAAUUGGGGAAAAAUGUUGUUUUAUACGCGAACUUUCAAAAAGUGUUCAUUUUAUACGUGAACUCACGUCGGCCAAAAUAAACAUGAAAAAUACGUUGAUCAGCUAUUUUAACAGAAACAAAAUGUUGACCUGGCCAAAAUCCCGAGACGUUAACUCGCAUUAACAGACCCAAUUAACCCCGUUAACAGCACGUUAGUGAACUCUGUUAAAGCCGAACGAUGUCGUUUUGUUCUAAACAAACAAAACAAAAUCCCCAAAUCGAAAACUCAAACCCUAAGUCUUCAUCUUCCCCAAAUCGAUUUCUUAUAUCCAACUUCUCUUAAUCUAUCUUCUUUGAGCUUGAAAUCUCCAAUUUCAUCUAUAAUUUCUCUAG
rnacentral:sRNA from 1 species